GCAUGGCUAUAUUUUCCGCAUUUUACAACAUUUCGCAACCAAACUUUACAAUGUUACUCAUUUUAGUAUGCUCUUUCUAGAUGUGGUGAUUUAUUUGCAUCUCCUUGCCUAGUUUUAAAAUUACUCUAUAAUGGGAAUUGUCUAUUGUACAAAAAAUGAAGCUGCUGUCAGUGCUGUGGUUUGUGUCUGAACUGGCUAUAAAAGUAGCCACUGUCAACUGUCAUCAUCACGCGAAGAUGUUUCGCUCAGAACGUCAAGUGUUUUAAUCUUUUUCAGAUUUCACCAAAUUUGUAUCAGGAUGGGGGCAUUGGGGGUAUUCAAUACCGUAAUACAGCAAGCAAAUUUUGUCAAUAGCCGCAGUUUUUGAGUCUAAAAUUGCAAAUACCGUGUACCGCAAGAUUUCCAAUAUUGUAAUACCGCAAUUUUUUAAGGAAAAUACCAAAAUACCGUAAGAAAAAUAAGCUAAUACCGCCAUACCGUAAAUCCCAAUGUCCCCCCCUAUCAGUUGUAACUUUCCCCUAGCUUAUGUUUUGACUGAACGCACAUCUAGCCUGCGGUGUAGACCCACACGAAAGGUGUUUCUGCUAGGGUCUACACCGUGGGCUAAUGCAUAUCUAAAAUACGAAAGACAUGGUAAAUAUCUUCUUACGAGAACAAUUAAUCAUUCACAAAUAGCUGCGAUAUUCAACUACAAAACUUGAAACUUGUGCUCCCAUUAGGCUUUGCGCGCUUAGAGUUUAGGUUUAAGCUUUAGAUGCAAAGGAUAAUCUUUUUUGAAUUGGCUGUAUACAGAGCCGGAGAUACGGGGGGGGGGGUGACACCACCCAGAAAUUUUAUUCAGUCGGCAGGACUGCUAUUCAGUCGGUAGGACUGCUACUUGGGUUAAAUAUUUCCGCGCAAAGGGCAAGAUGUUUGGGUUUUUUGGGUAAAUUUCCGAAUUUUGGUAUGAAAAAUUGAGGUAAAGUCACUGGAAAGCAUUUGCAACGUACUCGUCCGGCUCGUUUUCCCUAAAAAGUUGUCGACGGGGGGGGGGGGGGGGGGGGGGGGGGGGNNNNNNNNNNNNNNNNNNNNGGGGAGGUUGUUGGUCUCUGAAAAAAUUUUUUCGUCAGUCGGUUGAAAUGACCUUACACCCCACCCCCCCCACCCCCCUGAAGAAUUCCCUGAGGACAGCCAUGGCUGUAUAAUACUACAAUCUAAUGACAUUAGAGUCUUGGCACACUGCAUGCACGAAAGACGCCGAUAACAACUCAAGGCAUUUGCCAGAACAAUACCGCUUUUAGUCACCAAUAUUCUACGUAGGCGGAACUGUCAGUAAUUGUCUUUUGUGUCAGUAAAUGUAAUUGUAAACCGCUAUUUAGUGUAGCACUAUUCACUUCGUAUCAUAUCUUAUAUCACUAGCGCAUUAUUAAUCUACCCGUCGAAGACUGCAGACGCCAAGCUAGACAAGAGACCAUUUCUAGUCGGCUUUCAGGCUCAGCGCAAAGCCAAAGAUGCGCGCAAAUGUAAAACAGAUCUCAGUACAAUAUAUUUAAACUGCGCAGAAUUGAACCGCGUGAAUUUAAGACAUGAUAUAAAAUUUGGGGAAAAUUUAAGUUUUAAGUUUUUUAAAUUACUCCAAAUUACCUACGUAUAUUCCUACGUAUAAACGGCAACGUAUUUCUAAGUCUGGACAUUUCUAAGUAAAAUCGUCUGGACUGAGUAAAAUGGCAAAUAUUUAUUUAUUUAAUUUCGCCAAACACAGCAAAAUACAAUGACUCACAGACCCGCGCAAAACAUGCAUGUACAACAAUUAUAAGCAACGAAUGACGACGCAACAGUUUAAACCGAUUACUGUGGGCCGUUUUAACAUAAUAUAACAAGAGUACGUAUUAUAUAGAAUCAAAUAUUUUUGAUAGCUAACAGGAAGCUAUUCAUUGUUCAUAUUCCGAGUAGUAUUGCGUUGUUCCAAGUUCUCGGCUCAUCAGCAUCAAAGUAUUCAGGAGGGCGUUAAAGUAGUAAUACCGUAGAAAUGAUUUUAAGUGUUCUAAAAUUAAUUAUGAAUCCUGGUUUCGCCUCCAAUAUUUUUAAGACUACAAUCUAGUCGAAACGUCGAUUAUAAAAUCAAAAUGUAAUUCGGAGUUACUGUUCUUUUGUAUCAAAAUACUGAAUGGUUCCCGCAAGUAGUAAUGCAUUUUUAAUUUUUUAUGCCAGUAAGUUAUGAAAACUCUCCGCGUCCAAGCUAGACAAGAGACCAUUUCUAGUCGGCUUUCAGGCUCAGCGCAAAGCCAAAGAUGCGCGCAAAUGUAAAACAGAUCUCAGUACAAUAUAUUUAAACUGCGCAGAAUUGAACCGCGUGAAUUUAAGACAUGAUAUAAAAUUUGGGGAAAAUUUAAGUUUUAAGUUUUUUAAAUUACUCCAAAUUACCUACGUAUAUUCCUACGUAUAAACGGCAACGUAUUUCUAAGUAAAAUCGUCUGGACUGAGUAAAAUAGCGAAUAUUUAUUUAUUUAAUUUCGCCAAACACAGCAAAUACAAUGACUCACAGACCCGCGCAAAACAUGUACAACAAUAUAUAAAGCAACGAAUGACGGCGUAACAGUUUAAACCGAUUACUGUGGGCCGUUUUAACAUGAUAUAACAAGAGUACGUAUUAUAUAGAGUCAAAUAGUUUUGAUAGCUAACAGCAAGCUAUUCAUUGUUCAUAUUCCGAGUAGUGUUGCGUUGUUCCAAGUUCUCGGCUCAUCAGCAUCAAAGUAUUCAGGAGGGCGUUAAAGUAGUAAUCCCGUAGAAAUGAUUUCUAGUAAGUGUUCUAAAAUAUUGAUAUUAUCCGCCCGUAACUUCGUUCGUAGUGUAUUCCGUGGUCACGCUCAGGACGAAAAGAAACGCUCAGUAAUACCGGACUGUUCUGCGUUUCGGUGGGAAAAAGAUAUGCCCCUACAGGCCCUAUAUUGUUUGGUUAAUAAGUUACCAUCCAAGAGUUAACCCUAAUGGCCUAUAAACCUAAACAUUGGCAAACAACAGUGAACAGAGACCCGACACAAAACGCCCCAAACAAACCUAUUUUACUUGUUGAUUCGCCAAACUCAUCGACUAAUGCACCCAAUAUAGACCCGAACGACAUCUGUAAUCCACCCGCGCCAAAUAGCGAUAAAAAUACGACACUUAGUAUGCACCAAGAUCGCUUCGAAUCGACCAUACUGUCGUCAACAAAACUCAUGUUGGCAAACUAUGUUUCUAUAGUUGCGCACAAAAUUCUACUUUAAAAUUUCCUUCGUUCGUUGAUGUCUAAGUGCUAUAGUCGAAGGCGUGAAAUU
rnacentral:lncRNA from 1 species